CUCCAGCCUCCUCCUCCUCCCUUCUCUGAGUCAGGACAAAAACCUUUCAAAUGGCACCCCCCUCCUUGCUUUAGAUAAACACAGGCAGUGUCAAGUGUGAGGAGUAGGGGGAGGUGGGGAGGGGGUUCAACUGCCAGUCAAGCCACUGGCCUUCAAUGCGGCCCUGGGGCCUACCCUAAUCUGCUGCAUGCUUGCCAUAUGGGGGCUGUGUUGCCCCGGGAAACACUAACAGGCAGAACGGAGCUUAAUAGAGUCCAUAUUCAUUGUAAUGCAGUGAGAUAGCUGAAGGCACCACUGCCCCUUCCCGGUUUCAUUCUUCUGUUUCCCACUUUCUUUCUGUUUUUCCUCCUUUUUUCUUUCUUUCUUCCUUUCAAAAGGUCCUGGUACCCAGAGAGUUCUAAUCUAGAGAGGUUGGGGCUGGUGGAAAGGCUGGACUUUGGGGUUAGGUGUGAGGACUGCCAUGGUGGUGUUGGGGGCUGGGGAGAAGUGAGAAGUAGGAGUUCCCGGGAGAGCAGAGGGGGAGAGGGCUGCAGCAUCCACACAGGGCCAGGAACACUUGAUGUUGUGUGUGCAGAUGUGUGCAGGUUUGAGUCUGUGCACAUGUGUAAGGGAGUAUGGGUGGGUGAGUGUGGUCUCUGGAAGAGCACCCAACCAUCAGGGCCUUUGGGGACAGAAACCUUCAUAUUUAGCCACCUAUGCCUAGGUAUUUCUGACUCUGUCCCUUGAAUCCUCACUCCAGCCCUAUCUCAAUCCCAGUCAAUACAAGGUCAUUAAGGCCAGUGACAUCUACCUUCCUGGGGUAUCAGGCCUGUGGCCAAUUCUCAGCUCUCCAGUGGCCUUGAGAAGUCACAGAUGUGGUGCUGGGAUGAAACCACUUUAGAAAUAAACCCCUACAGGGGCAGAGGACGCACCAGCCUGCCAAGUCUGGGCCAUUUCCUCCUCUGGUUCAUCUGGCUCUGGCUGAGAAGGAGGUGAAGGUGUGGUCUGCCACAGCCAAGCUAAGGGCAUUAGGCGCCUCUUUGCAUUACGGGAGUGGGCUGUCCAGUAGGGUGGGCCUUGUCACAAGUAUAUCUGCUGGAAGUCAGGCUUGGGGAUCCCUGAGGUCUAAGGGCAUCUUCCCCCGCCAGUGCUCAAAAAGGAAGGAGGAGCAGGGAAUGUAGGAAGGAAACACAGUAAACUUCUCCCAUCUUUGCAGCAAAAAUAAAAUUCAUAACCAAGAUAUGAUAGAAUUCCUCAAAGGAUAGUUUUUAUAAGUUGUAAAGCCUAAAGCUAUUUGUUCUGUGAUUGUAAAAAAUCACAAAUUUAAAUCAGGAUAGAAAAAAAGGAAAAUUAAAAGAACUUUCAUAUAUUUCCCUAUAGUUGAAACUUUAAUCCUAUGGUAUUUCUAACACAUAGAAGGAGCUCAAUAAAUGGUUCCUGAAUGAAUACAUGCUCCUAGAGUUUUACUACUGGUGACAAACAACUUGGAAUGCUCCCUGACAACUACAGUCAGGGUUGGGGCAGAUGAAAAUGGCUUUAGGAGAAGCAAAAGGCUCCUACUGUAUGUGUGGCAAUAACCCUGACAGAGUGGUGCGAGUAUCUCACAGGUGUCCUUUGUUAUCCCCUCCUCCAGUACCAAAGCCAGGUAGGCUAAGUCAGCUGAAACUGCUAAAACCAAGGCAGACACUGUGCUCGUUGUUGUUGUUUUUUGCCUUCCAAGCUUGAUACAUUCCACAUUCCCUGUUCUUACCCACUGCUGAGAUGCAUCAUCAAUCUCUAGUUUCCUAGCUCAACCCAAGGCCAUAUAUCCCAACAAUUUUGCAGGGAAUGGUACACUGGCUAUUUCAGAGGCCAGGUACAAUUUCAAUUCCUGGCUCUCAAACCUAAGUAUCAUGCAGUUAUCUGAAAUGCUAUCCGGAAGCCAGCCUCAGCUCCUUGGUCCUCGGUAUGAACUCCCUGAUGACUCCUGGAAUCUUAGAAAAGCCAGAGUCGGUGGAGACACACAACUGAGUUGGGUCUAACGGGACUUUGUGAACAGUUAGCCUCCCUGUGGAAGCUUCCCUGCAAUUUCUUUUUUCUGUACAGCCCUACUCUAGGUUACUGUGACCCAGCAUAUUUCAUGGUUUACAGAGGAGAGCUCCACACAAGGGCAAGCAGAGAUAUCUGGAGCUCUCUGGCAAGCCAGUCUUGGAGCACUCUGAGGGCACCACGGAGAAGCCAAGCUCUUCCCAACCUUCCCUGCAAAGAGCACAUUGGUCAGUAAUCUUUCACUCUAGAAGCUUCUGGGCACCAAGUAUGCUCUGAACCUGGUGACAAGCCCGCCAUGUGGGCUGUAAGCAUAUAGGAGUGGGAAGAAGUGUCCCUAACAAGCCUGUGCUGGAAUGAAAGCAUGUACAGUAUGUGACAUGGAAGGAGCCUGAAUGGCCAACUCAUAAGGAAGGCAGGGACAGUUACUCUAGUCUAAACCAAAUCCUUGCCUUUUAUGUCACUGCUCAGAGGACACCCAUUAACAACCUGCUUAUACAAACAUAAACUUGUCUACUCUCCUAUCUUCCCUAAAGCCACGAAAAGAUUUGCUACCUACUUGGCUGUCCAACCUUGGAGUCAUCUUGUCUCCUGCUUCUCCCUGCUUCUCCGCCCCAGUAUCUGAUCAGUUGUAUGGACUCUACCUCUGCCAUGAGCAGUGUUGUCCAACAGAAAUAUAAUUCCACCCCCUAUGUAAUUUUAAAUUUUCUAGUACCCACUUAAAAAAAACAGGUGAAGAUAAUAUAAUGUCUUUUAACAUGAUAUAUCCAAAAUUUAUAAUUUCAACAUGUAAUCAAGAUAAAAAUUGAGAUGUUUUUACACUUUGUUUGAUGCUGUCUUCCAAAUCGAGUGUAUCUGUUGUAUUUACUGCACAUUCAAUUUAGACUAGCCACAUUUCACGUGCUUAACAGCCACAUGGGCUAGUGGCUAAUUUAUUGAACAGCAUUGGUCUAGAGCCCUCAAACUAGCUCUCAGGCACUGUCUUCUCUCCAUCUAAUCAGCCUCUGCAUUGCCAUCUACCUUCUUUCUAAAACAUUAAGCUCAACCAAACAGUAAAAGGUAACUGGGAAGCUACUAUUCCUUGAGCAAGCACCUCCUAUAGGCCAUUGUCAGAAUUCAUCGAAUUUUAUAUUCUCACAGUAGCCCUGUAAGGUGUGUGUAUGGUCAACCCAUUUCAUAGAUUAGGAAACUGAAGUUCAGAGUGAUUAAAAUCUUGUCCAAGAUCACACAGAUGAUAAAUCUCAGGGUGAGGAUUUGAACCAGGUCUGCCUGAUCCUAAAACCCUUGGUUCUUUUCACUCUACCAUGCUGCUUUCUGUAAAUUAUGGCAUAAUAAUUGAUGGACUAUUACGUAGCUAUUAAAAUGAUAAUUAUAAAGCUCAAGUAGCAACAUGAAAAUAAAUGUUUAAAAGAUGAGAAAAGUAACAUAGAUCCCAUUUCGUAAAAAGCAAGUGAGCAUCUGGGUGAGGCCUGAAACAUUCUAAAAAGCAGCUGAGUUAAAAAUGUGGAGGAAUUAUGAUUUUUUUUUCCUAUUUGGAGUUCAGUUAAAGAAAAAAGAGAAUACGUGAACAGACACAACUCUGAUUGCUCCCCAUCUGAGUAUGAUUAAAUAAAGUUCAAAUUCCAAUGCAAAGCCUUCCAGGCUUUUUGUAACUGGGUUCCAGUCAACCUUUCCUCUGUCUGCCUCCCGUAAGCCCUAAAAUCUGGGGAGGCUGCAUUUUCAUACUCUCUGUUCCUUCUACCGGAACCACCUUUCCCUUCUCCCUUCAUUCCAUGCAUGGAACUCCUAAUUAUCUUUAAAUCUUACCUCAAAUGUCACCUCUUAUGAAGCCUUCUGUGGCUGUUCCUCAUUCUGGUUCCCGUAGCAUCUCACACACCUUAUAUAACAUUUCUACAGGGAUUUCUGGGUUUUGAUCAUGCAUCUGUCUGUCAUAUACCUCUUAUCUCUUUCUUCUGACCCCAGACAAUAAACUCAUUGAAGGCAAGGAUGUGUCCAAUUUAUCUUGGUAACCCUAGCACCUAGAAAAGCCUUGGCACAUCAUAGGUGCUUUUUCAGUGUUUGCUGGAUUGAAGGGUUUGGUCAAAUUAGAAAUCUAGGAUCGAGAAAGAACGUUAGCCUGACCAAGGACAUGUGUGGCAUACAGAGAGAGACACACUGUUAUUAAUGGUGGAACCAAUUUUUUUUCCUGGGGGGAAAGGACUAUAAAUGUGACCUGUAUUUUUCAAAACCAAAAGGUCCCCACGUCAGUGUGGGCAAUCCUGGAGGGGAGUUGAAUGUUGAUGAGGUUCUAAGCACUUUAAGGACAGAAGGCUGUGUCCCUGCAGAUGCUCCUGUGCCUUGAGGUUCCAUUCCAGAAGCUUCUUUUGUUUUCCUUCUCAUCUCAUCUUCCAAAAUGAACACCCAACUAAGCUUGUGGCUUCAGGCGUCCUAUAGCCACUGGGCUGCAGGAGAAUCUAAUCUAGGAUGAGACCAUGCCUGUGCCACCAUCACCAUGGCCCUGAGUUGGAGGCUGGGUAGAAGAAGGCAGGCAAAGAGGAUGGGAAAGGGAGAAAUAAGAAAGUAUGGAGUGAGAAAGACGACAGGUUCAGGCCUAAGAAGAUCAAGAAAAGAGCAUGAGAAGGGCAGGGGGGAUGGGAGCAGAGAUGUGAGAAAGGCACCUAGUUUUACCCCAGCUCCCAUGAUGUGCUGAGCCCACGGCUGGCUGCUUCAUAUCCACCAACACUUUUAAUCUUUACCACCCAGAGAGUGUUCCUAGCUCCAUUUUAUAUGUUAUCAAAACCCUUCCUGAUGUUCCAUCACUUAAGGGCUUUAGGUCUCAUCUCAAAUUUUAUUAUAGACAAAGCUUGUCUACUAAGUGACAGCAUUGGAGCUCAGCAGGAUCAGGUACUGAAGAACCAUAAGCCUUGGCUUCUGAAACUCUUCUACCCUUCACAGAAGAUCACCUUGAGUUGCUCUGGAGAGAAAGUACUAGAGAAGACCCAGACCACACCAGAGACUUCUUUCCACCAGCACUGGCUGAAGCACCCCACAUGGAGAAAGACCCAUUCUGCGCUCUCUGCACCUCCUGCUCUGACUGAAGACCACACCACUGGGAGGUUCUGGAUAAGCCUACUGUACAGAAUGCCACUCCUUUUGAUAAAGGGCUCAACACAGACACCACUGGAACCUGGGCGGAACCAAAAGCAGAAACUCUAGAAGCUAAGGGAUCUGUGGCCUGCCACCACCACCGGAUGUGGAUGUAGGCGUGCAAGAGCGCUGCCUGCCCAGGGGACGCUCACUUCCCCACCGCUAUCCGCAGCUCCAAAGCAAGUAAAACAAACUAUCGAGGAGGAAGGCAAACAGCCCAUGUGCUCCUCGUGUCUUUCUGUUUAGGGACGGGAUGGGAAGGUCUGCACAGCUGAUACUUCCAGAUGUGGAACCCAAACACAGGCAGCUCCUGACAGUUUACCAGCCUGGGCUAAACUCCAGUAGCGCCAGGGCCGGCAUGCUCAGUGGAAGCUGAUAAAGGGACCACACUGCAGACCUGCAGGGCUCUGGUUGCGGGCGAGGGGUCUCAGCGCACAACUUUGGGCUCCUUUUUCAGUCUCUGCUCCCCAGCUGGAAGUGUGUAUGGGGCAGGGAAGGAGAGAAAGCCAUACUUAAAACUGAAGGGGAUUGCCAAGUGAAAGAAGCUGAUCUUGAAAAGGCAUAGGCUGUGUGAUUCCAACCGCAUGACAUUCAGGAAAAGGCAAAACUAGAGAGACAAUAGUAGAUCAGCGG
rnacentral:lncRNA from 1 species